rnacentral:rRNA from 1 species
AUUGAACGCUGGCGGCAGGCCUAACACAUGCAAGUCGAGCGGAUGAAGGGAUCUUGCUCCUGGAUUCAGCGGCGGACGGGUGAGUAAUGCCUAGGAAUCUGCCUGGUAGUGGGGGAUAACGUCCGGUAACGGGCGCUAAUACCGCAUACGUCCUGAGGGAGAAAGUGGGGGAUCUUCGGACCUCACGCUAUCAGAUGAGCCUAGAUCGGAUUAGCUAGUUGGUGGGGGAAAGGCCUACCAAGGCGACGAUCCGUAACUGGUCCGCGGGGAUGAUCCGGCACACUGUAAGAGAGACACGGUACAGACUCUGACGGUAGGCAGCGGUGGGAACUAUUAGACGAUGGGGGAAAGCCUGAUCCAGCCAUGCCGCGGGUGUGAAGAAGGUCUUCGGAUGGGAAAGCACUGUAAGUUGGGAGGAAGUGCAGUAAGUUAAUGCCUUACGGUAUUGACGGUACCAACAGAAUAAGCACCGGCUAACUUCGUG